rnacentral:ribozyme from 12 species
UGGUAAAAAGAAGAGACGGGAAGGGCGAUGGACCCUUAUCUUUUUUUUCUCCUUCUCCUUUUUCUCCUUUUUCUCCUCUUUCUCCUCUUUCUCCUCU